CGGCGAGUGAAGCGGCAAAAGCUCAAAUUUGAAAUCUGGUACCUUCGGUGCCCGAGUUGUAAUUUGGAGAGGGCAACUUUGGGGCCGUUCCUUGUCUAUGUUCCUUGGAACAGGACGUCAUAGAGGGUGAGAAUCCCGUGUGGCGAGGAGUGCGGUUCUUUGUAAAGUGCCUUCGAAGAGUCGAGUUGUUUGGGAAUGCAGCUCUAAGUGGGUGGUAAAUUCCAUCUAAAGCUAAAUAUUGGCGAGAGACCGAUAGCGAACAAGUACAGUGAUGGAAAGAUGAAAAGAACUUUGAAAAGAGAGUGAAAAAGUACGUGAAAUUGUUGAAAGGGAAGGGCAUUUGAUCAGACAUGGUGUUUUGUGCCCUCUGCUCCUUGUGGGUAGGGGAAUCUCGCAUUUCACUGGGCCAGCAUCAGUUUUGGUGGCAGGAUAAAUCCAUAGGAAUGUAGCUUGCCUCGGUAAGUAUUAUAGCCUGUGGGAAUACUGCCAGCUGGGACUGAGGACUGCGACGUAAGUCAAGGAUGCUGGCAUAAUGGUUAUAUGCCGCCCGUCUUGA
rnacentral:rRNA from 1 species